rnacentral:rRNA from 1 species
CCUACGGGUGGCAGCAGUGGGGAAUAUUGCACAAUGGGGGAAACCCUGAUGCAGCGACGCCGCGUGAGUGAAGAAGUAAUUCGUUAUGUAAAGCUCUAUCAGCAGGGAAGAAAAUGCCGGUACCUGAGUAAGAAUCCCCGGCUAACUACGUGCCAGCAGCCGCGGUAAUACGUCGGGGGCAAGCGUUAUCCGGAUUUACUGGGGGUAAAGGGAGCGUAGACGGCAGUGCAAGUCUGGAGUGAAAGGCGGGGGCUCAACCCCCGGACUGGUCUGGAAACUGUACGGCUGGAGUGCAGGAGAGGUAAGUGGAAUUCCUAGUGUAGCGGUGAAAGGCGUAGAUAUUAGGAGGAACACCAGUGGCGAAGGCGGCUUACUAGACUGUAACUGACGUUGAGGCUCGAAAGCGUGGGGAGCAAACAGGAUUAGAUACCCCUGUAGUC